GGUACAUAAUUCUUAUAGCGUAAAAGUUAAUUAUAUUCAUAUAUACUAUAAAGCAAAUAAUCAAAGCAUAAAAUUUCUUUACAGUGACACGUGGACCCACAUCUAACCAAAAUGCAUCGGAAGCUAGAAACCUACAGCUUUUAUCGAUUCGAGUCCAAAUGAAGGUCCUUGUCAAAGUCAGCUAACUAUGGAAUUCCCCGAGCCUGAAAUGUGAGGAAAUGAAGGUGGUGAGAUUAUAAAAUCCCAGUGAGUAAACAGAUACCAUCUAAACUAUCUAAAAUCGAGUAAAUAGAGACAAUUAAAAUAAGACAUCAUACUGUAAUUUCAUUAAUUUUCAACUCAUUUCAACCAAAUAAAAUCAAUCCAUAUAAAUUGAGUAAUCAACUUGGCUUAUGAAUUUCUUAAAACUUUGGCUCGUGCCAAAACUCAUACUUGGUGAUACCUUGCGUAGGGCAUCCAACCGAGUCCCCCAAGGCUGUUAAAAUUUUUGUAUAAACUUAAAAUAUAUUUUUAGUUUGAGAAAAAUACAGCCAUUCCUUGGCGUUGGCUGAGUUCCCCUUCACGUGAUGGUUUGGCGUGAAGUGAACCCUAAGCUUUACCCCAAGAGAUACCCUACGCACCUCUCCGUUCGAGGUAAGAAUAUAAUGAAGUUUACCGUGUCCCUCUAAUAGGCUGGUUUGCGGAACCCCCUCUGCAGUGAAUAAUUAAUAUAUACUCCACCAAUCAAUAAAAUUCAUACUAGCAUGACAUGCCAAUUUAUCGCAACCUAGCCUCUCAAGGCUGAAUACUCAGUACAAAUAAUUCUAACUCCAAAAUCAGUUUAGCCAUUCAUGCUCAUAUAUUGUCAUAAGCCAUUCAAUUUAAAACCAUAAAUUUACAACACAAGCAGGCGGUCUCCAAUUACUCUAUUUUCAAAACUAGUAUUCGAUUUUUUCAAAAAAUUUAUAAAAUCAUUUUAUAGAAUCGUAAUUUCUCCUAAAACAUAGCAAUUUAUCAUUUAAACCCAUUUUCCAUAAAAUCACACAAUUGUAUAAAACUACUCUAGAUAAUUAAGACGAUAAUAAGUUCACUCACAGUUUUAGGAGUCGAUGUACUCCUAAUCCCAGUCACCAAGCACAAUCUCUGUACUUUUACCAGUGUAAUUUGCUCACCACCUAUCCACAAUGUACAAUACAUAAUUCACCACAUCAAUGCUUGACCAUUAUAAAAUCAAUUCAGGCUUGGUAUAUAUGCAUGAUAUGAUAUACAACUUAUCCAACUACCGCUUAAAUGUAGUGCUGACCUAAUUCGGCCUAUGAUCUCCAAUUUAACUCCAAAUCAAUUCUUCUCACUUUCUACACUCCAAUUAUACCUAAAUUACCUUAAUAACUGUGAAUGAGGUUCAAUUUAUCAGUCUCGGUAGCAAAUUACGAAAAUACCCCUAGUGGGUAAAAAUUCAUAUUUUUGCUCUGAAAAUUCUCAUUAUUUUUCUAGGCUCAUAAUUCAUCAUUUCUUAACCAAUUCUCCUAGAAUGAAAAUCAAAUCCAUCCUCACUCAACACAUGGUAAAUUCGGCCAUUAAGGGUUGUGGGAGAAAAUAAAUUCUUUUCUUGUUGUUUUGUUUCUAAAUAUGCUAAACUAACUUAAAACACUAACAUAACUUAAAAUCAAAUUAAUCUAACAACUUUCUCUCUCCUAACCCAUUUUUCAGAAUUGAAUUCAUCAUAAUAACUCAAUAUUCAACCAUGAAAAUCAAGAACAAAAGCAUGGGUAAGCUAGGUAUCAAGGAGAACUAAAGAAAUUCUAACUUACCUAGCUUGUUUCCUUGAUUUCUUCACUUUUUCUUUGAAUUUUCCACCUAGGUUUUCUUGUUUUUCCCUUUGUUCUUCCUCUCUUUCUCUCUCUUCCUUGCUUGGCCGGCC
rnacentral:lncRNA from 1 species